UCAUCUUCCCUAAUCUUUUUCUACCUUUUCUUGUAUUAUGAUUUUUUUUUCAGAAACUAAGAAGCUACCUUCCCUUAAUCCCCUGUAUGUUUUCUUCAUCUCAGUGUUUUGUUGUAAACAUAAGGGUCACAUAUCUAUGAAGUCAUAUACUAAUAGUAAGCAUUUUUCCUUUUGGAGUGCUACUUUUAUUCCACAGGGCUCACAUAUUGUCAUGAUGUUGUCACAAAAACCUAGGCGAAUAGGUAGGCUAGGUAUUUUUAAUCUGUACUUUAAAGUGAUGGUCACAGUUCACAUGGUUAAAAAGACUUGUUGAAAUCCCAUACUGACUUAACGUACAAUGGGACUAGCUCCUCAGUUUGGCCUGUGAAACAGGCUUCCUUCCAACACUAAUAAUACAUGGUAACUAAAUGAUUCACUUUUUCAUUUAUCAGUUUUAUGCCCAGCACUAUAAUAAUUGGAACAGUAACAAUACCAAUAUCAACACUUCACAUGCUAACAGUAAGAAAACCGGUAACUAAUAUUUCUGAGUUUUACUUUUGUGCCCAUUACUACUUUGAGGGCAUUGCAUGUGUUAGCUUAUUAAAUCCUUAAGGCUCAAGGAGGUUAAGUGAUUUCCCCAUGGUCAUGCAGUUAGUGACAGAACCUUGAUGAAAACUCAGGUCAUGUUAGUCUUGAGCUGGAACCCAAUGAUCAUACUGUAGGGAAUGAGUGUA